rnacentral:rRNA from 1 species
UACGAAGGGUGCAAGCGUUACUCGGAAUUACUGGGCGUAAAGCGUGCGCAGGCGGUUUUGUAGGCCAGAUGUGAAAUCCCCGGGCUUAACCUGGGAAUGGCAUUUGGGACUGCAAGGCUUGAGUGCGGCAGAGGAGACUGGAAUUCCUGGUGUAGCAGUGAAAUGCGUAGAUAUCAGGAGGAACACCGAUGGCGAAGGCAGGUCUCUGGGCUGACACUGACGCUCAUGCACGAAAGCGUGGGGAGCAAACAGG